rnacentral:rRNA from 1 species
AUUGAACGCUGGCGGCAGGCCUAACACAUGCACGUCGAACGAGUGGCGGACGUGUGAGUAAUUUCUGGGAAACUGCCCGCUGGAGGGGGAUAACUACUGGAAACGGUAGCUAAUACCGCAUACCAUCGGAUGUGCCCAGAUUGGAUUAGCUAGUAGGUGGGGUAACGGCUCACCUAGGCGACGAUCCCUAGCUGGUCUGAGAGGAUGACCAGCCAUACUGGAACUGAGACACGGGGCAGACGCCGACGGGAGGAAGCAGUGGGGAAUAUUGCACAAUGGGAGAAAGACGGAGGGAGCCAUGCCGCGUGUAUGAGGAAGGCCUUCGGGUUGGAAAGUACUGUCAGCGAGGAGGCGUUACUCGAAGAAGAAGCACCGGCUAACUCCGUGCCAGCAGCCGCGGUAAUAC